CCACUGUGUGCAUGAUGUCUUGCAGUAUCUUACGAAUUUGGUUCUCUUAAAGCAGUGUGCAUUUUGUGUGUGGCAGCUGCUUGUACUAACAAAACCAGCUUUAAAACUGGAGUCACCAAGCCCCACAUUCUGAAGAGGCAGCAAGGGAAACAGGUAGAGGAAAGGUUUGGCUGCAGGUGCUCGCCUCUCCCAAUUGCUGCCUUCCUCAAGCCUCUCCAGCAAAAAUGUUUCUGGGAAAGCUUUACUCCAUGAAGCCUCCUGGCAAAACCUGGAUGAUUUCUCACUCAGGCUGAAAGCCUUUGACCUCUGCUUAUACCCUCCUGCCUCAUUUAUUGAGAACAUCCACAACGAAGACCAGCCUGCAGACAGCAACAUGGGAGAAAGACAACCAUCCAGUGAAAAAAGUCCUAUGAGAGCUAAGGAACUUCCUCUAUAAUGUGGUUUCACUCAAUAAGGAUGUUAGCAUGGACCUCAGUCAAAUCUGAUAUGUAUGUCCCCUGCUCAAGGCACUUACAGACAUUCUUAGGAGUGACAAAAAGCCUUGGUAAUGAUACUGCUUGAGUUGAAAGCAGAUUGAUCAGUUAGGUAAAUGAACCAUCUGGAACUGAGCACAGAAGGAUGAAAAGCUUCUCUGAAGAGGAUGUGUAAGUUCCAACAUGGAACUCAGCUUGGCCUGAGGAGUCCUGUGAGGAUAGCAGGAGGUGAGGCAGAGAUGUGGUGGAUAAGUGUGAGAGACAUUGAUAAAUGUUUUCCAGGUUUGACAAAGUGAGCAGAUGUGUUGUUUUCUGCCCAAGAAGGAUGCCGUGGGGCAGAGUCUUUACCCAAGUAAUGUGCUCAGCCAGUUGACCUAAGAAAUGUCAAUUUGCUUUAGAAAGACUAUUUUACUUUGAAAACACUACUUCUGGCUGCCUUUGCUCUCCAUGAAGAGCUAAGUCCUCAUUUCAGAGCAGCUCUAGGCAGCUCUGUGAGGGCAAGCAAGGGGCAGGGGGAUCCAGGAGCAGGCUUUACACAUGGUACAGCUCCAAAAACCCACCCACGCUACUUAGCAAAUUCCAGCUGCAUCUAAAUUAACAAGAACUCCUGAGUCCCUGCCUCAAGUCUCUCAAGAUACCAGGGACCUGCUCAAAGUAUAAAAUGACUCCUCUGCACAACAAAUACAGAGGCAACCUCCAUGAGGCCAAGCAGGACGGGGAUGGAUGCAAACCUGCCCCUUAGUCCUGAACACAUCUGGGAAUGCAGCUGCGGUGUUUGCUGUACUGCAGGCAGUUUGAAGGGGCUCUCAACUAACCCUGCCAAAAAUACAGGCUCAUAUAUCCCAUAUUGAUCAGCCAUCCCUUUUUCUUCCUCUACAAAAGUCUGUUUAACCAGUUAGUUACUUCCUUGGCAGCAUUGCCAAUCCUGACAAUGGCUUGGGAGGAAGCCCUGGGACUACCAUCUACAUCACAGUUCAUCACAGUUCCCUCAUUUCUCCUCACCAAACAAAUGUUCUUUCCUGAAGCCUUUCUGUUGCUUUUUGGUUUGAUUUUCCAAUAGUUCCCCCUUCUUUGUUGCUCUGAACUCAUCUAUUCAAAGACAGAAUCCCCAAAGAGUAAUUAUGGAAAAGGGAACAUGGACCUACACUCACAGCAGCACAGUCAUAAAAUAGUUCAGUCCCAGUUCCAUAAGCACUGCACAGUCUAUUUUGAACAGUCUCCCGAAAAUUUUGUGAGUUUUACAAGGUAACAUAAGGUUAGGCAGGCCUUUAGUAGAUCACAGUGAGUAGCAGCAAGUAGUUGCUGACUGACAGAAAAGGCUGCAUGUCUUCAGCACUAAUGUGUGGACGCUACAGAACACUUCUCUUUUAAACAAGAAAUACUGGUUAAAGAAAGUCAAACAGUGUUUAGAAAGAGCUGGAAAACUUAUUAGGGGAUUUUAUUUCAAUUCUUUGCAUAUUAUAGACGUGCAUUUUUCUGUGCUGCCUACCUGCUGUUUGGGGUUCCAGCUGCUCCCCCUGGACCAGCCACUUCUUUCAUCAUAGCUUCACGGUGCGUAUUAUACAGGAUAAUCUGACUGCAUUGGCUUAACUCAGAUACCCACCUCCAUCAAAAUCCAUGGCAAAACUACACACAUCUUCCCUUGUGUUACCCUGUAAGCAAUUUCAAAACAUAAGGAGGUAAAUUCAUUCCUUUAACUCAAUUUCCACUUUCUCUCUCUUUAGUAAGGGCAUGCAUGCUGUUAAUAAUGUUUUCUUAGUCCUCUACCAGGACUUGGCCCUUUUUUUUCCUUUAAAGCAGAAAAAAAAAUAAUACUAUUGGAGUUGGUUUCAUUUCACUUCCAGGAAAGUGAAGCAUGCUGUAGGAAAUAUAUGCAGUUGUGCAGCUGGAGCUCCUACACACACAGACCAUUUGUCCUGGGAACUGAAACACUUUUUCCAUGUGUUGGGUGACAAAACACAUUAGUAUGUUCCUUAUAUAGAAACACCACAUACCACUGUGUUUUAAGCAUAAUUGGGUACGAAUGUUGUAACAUGAGCUCCAGAAUGUUGGACUCAGAUGAGUGAGCAUUAAUCAUUCCCAAAGAAAGGACUGAGAUGAGAUUUGGCUUCUGUGUGUUAUGUUCUAGUGGAUAUGUAGCAGGCAGCUUGUAUUUGCUUUGGGAAGUUUGGCAUACUCCAUUGCAAGUGAUUUGAUAGAGAAACACAUGUAUCCUGCAUAAACAUCAAAGAAAUGUGUAUUUAAUGAGAGCAAAGCUGCAUGUGCACAUACAGAUAGGAAAAAAGGAGGAAAAAAGAGGCAGCACUGCAACUGUAACUCACAAUCACACUGCAGGUGAACCCUGAGACUGAUAAGCUCACCUGCAGUCAUCUUCACCCCUAAAUUCACAUGCCUAAAUCCCCUCACCUACUGGGGAAACAAGAGAAAUGUCUCCUAUUUUAUAGGGCACUGAAUAUGGGUACCACUUGACAAAAAGAUGUCCUGUGCUCCCAUACAAAAUUUGUGUAAUGAUGAUCAGAGAUUUACAGAUCAGAGAUAGAAGACUUGGAGGUAGACCUUUAUGCUUGGAUUGUGAUUUUUUUUUCUUUUUUGAGCUCUGGAAAGCCCUUUAAAAAAAUGAAGCACUUAUUUCCCAAUACUUCUAAUCGCACUGAAAACCUAACAGCUUUAGUUUCUUAUGCCAAAUCCUGUAGAUGGCUCUGGAGGCAGCCUUGUUUAAAUUCCGGGUAACAGAAUUACCAGAAUGUGGAGCUGGUCUCUGAGCAGGUAAAGAGAUGCUGGAAAUUACUUGUGCCAGGAAAUUGUCACUUAUAAAGCUUGACCUGUCCUGUGUGAAAUGAUGAGGCUUGUGAAAGCUAAAUUGGUCUUCAAGGAACAGCACUAAUAUCAGUCCAUCAUUCCAACUCUGCAAUAACCAGUCGUGGAAGACUUAGUACCUUAAUAGUUUGUUUAUGGGUCAACCUGGGCCUCCUGUGUCCUGCACACAUGGCCUCAGUCUGCAAUCUUGCAAGGAAACAUCUCAGUCUGUUCAGUUUGCUUUUCUUAUCUAUAAAAGAGGUUUCUGGAGAAGCUUUAAAAAAACACAGCAGCAGGAGAAAGAGGCAGAAUUAUUUUCAGAGUUGCCUUUCUAGAAAGCUCUCCCUGUUGCCUGCACUCAUGCUUUGACAGCAAAACUGCUCUGGAAUCACUGAUGUAUUCUUGUCUUUUGUGAGGUGUCGGGGAAUCUGGGCAUAAAAUCCAGGGCACAGUUGUGCAUUAAGCAACACCAUUUUCACCUCUCUCUAGCUCUCUGUACUGCAGCAGAUUAUUUCUUCAUCAUUGCUUUAAGUUAAAGGAGAAACUCCAUAAUUAUUUCUCUUGACCUUCGGGCUUAAAAUAUUUUUUAACAGCUAUUGCUAUAUAUGCUUCACUUUUCUGGUUUGUUCCCUUUCUCCCAAUUAUUUUGAAGAGAUUUGCCAUGUCCACGUUCACUUUAUAUUUCCGGCAUUUUGGAAUUUCAAACUUGAAAAUAUGUCUCAAAUACCAGCAUGAGUUUCAGAUAAUUAAAUCAUUAACUUUAAAGAAAAAGCCUAAGCUGUCUAUCAGCAGUAAUGUUGACUAUGCAUAGAGCUUGUUAUCAAGGAAAGGAAUUUUUUUUUUAAUUCAGGAAAUAAUCAGAAUGGCAUUUAUUAAAAAGAUAAGAAAAGGGAUUAACAAAAUGUAGUUGUUGGAGCAUUCUGAGUACAGUGAUGGACCAGUUUAAUGUUUUCAGUGUCCUGAUCAAGAAUAAUGUAAAAUGUUUAGGGGGUAAAAGUAACACAGCUCAAGGGAUAUUUGUCCAAGAAAGUAUUUCAUUUGGAGAUAGUAUUUCUGAAAGUCUGUUCAGUCUUAAAAUUGCUUCAAGCUUCUAAUUAUUUUAUAGCUUAAGUGAAAUUACUUCUUCAGAGGAAAAUAUUGGUUUCUUUUGCAUCUGUACUGUGAUGUAAUUUAAGAACCAGAAAAAUUGAACAUCAAAUAAAAAUUCAACACAAUUAAAUUCUGAUCCACAGCAGUAUUCAAACCUAACUUUUUAUAUCUGAGUAAUUUAAUUAUUUCCAUUGGCAGUGCUGUCUCAGCUGAGUUCUGUAUGUUGCUUACAACUAUAUACACAUCAAAAGAGAUAUUACACAUCAAAAGAGAUUAUUAAUAUCAUAUAAU